rnacentral:lncRNA from 1 species
CAUGGAAAAGGGUUUACCCAAUCACUCAUGGAUAUGUCAAGCCACCUGAUGGAGUCACCGUGUAUCCAGGUAAUUACACAUGUUAUGCUAUACCUAAGAAUACUGGUGUGUAUCUGGGCAGAUUCCCAUCUGGAUAUUGCUCAACCUACCAUAGCCCACGUGUGUCACUGCUAAUAAAUCAUGCAAAGACCAUUGGAGAUAUCUAUUGGUUAUGUGGUGACAGACAAUUGAGGUCCCAAUUAGCUGAGCAAUGGUGGGGGGAGUGUGCCCUAACCAAAGUCAUAAUGCCUAUCCACAUUAUUCCAGAUGGUAGUCAUAACACGUUAAACCUUACACAUGUACACUCUAGAACCAAACGAGGGGCUCCUAUCCGAGGGAGCUUUGACCCCCAUGUGUAUAUUGAUGCCAUAGGUGUGCCAAGGGGGGUGCCUAAAGAAUACAAAGCAAGAGAUGAAGUGGCUGCAGGAUUUGAAUCCCUAAUUCCAAUGAUAACUGCUAACAAAAAUGUCAAUUGGAUUAACUACAUUUACUAUAAUCAACAGCGCUUUGUCAACUACACUAGGGAUGCCCUACAGGGCCUGGCAGAGUAAUUACAAGCCACUACCCAAAUGACAUUUCAGAACAGAAUGGCCCUAGAUAUGAUUUUAGCUGAGAAAGGGGGUGUAUGUAAAAUCCUCCCUGAGACCAUGACAUGCUGCACAUACAUUCCAGACAACACUGGGCCCAAUGGUAAGGUGACUAUGGCCAUAGAGAAGCUAGAUAGUCUUGCAGACGAGCUAAAGAAAAAUUCAGGAGUCACUGACACUUGGGACAGAUGGUUUGGGUGGAUGAAUGGUUGGCAAAG